ensembl:lncRNA
AUUUCAGGAAACGUCAUAAACGUGGUGAAUUUAUUGUUUGAAUAACAACGUUUUGUUUGGGACCAACAUGGGACACAAUCAGUCCUCAAACCGGUUGAUUCCCUUUGUUUUGUGCACUUUUCCAGUUUCCAGCAAAGGAAAGAAACCAGACUGCGCCACAGAGGAAGCCAAGGACCAACAAAGAGGACGGGGCUUUGUGUUCUUACGCCGCCUGAAGACCAGACCGAUCCUCCAACUGCGGUUGUUGACGGAGGAGUGAGCAAAGGACUAUUCAGUUGGAUGGGAUCCGCAACUUCACUGCUCCUUUAAGAAACAACCUAAUGAGAAGACAGCAGCAUUUAUUGGAAACAAAUGUGAAGGCUCGAAACAAAAAGCCGUGACCAGAAGAACACAGUUGUAUGAAUGCGGUUCAUUGUGCUCGAUGGAGAUGGUUAUGUUCACAUUGAAGGUGGGUAUGACUCACUUCAACCAUUAGAUCAGUGACUGGGGUUUGGACUGCAGCCCUCCUCUGAUAUUGAGACCACCGCGGACAAACUCUCCCAAACAGCCAUCUGCUCAGCAUUGCUACACCGCUUUUCAAUCCUUUAAAGAGGAGCGAAAAAUACGUCCAAGACCCAGUCGCCGCGCCGCUCCGCAUGGCAGCAGUUACACCGCUGCUGGCCAACUUUCCUCCAGCAAAACGAGGCAUGCCUGCCCUCCUUCUCUGGAAAUAACUUUAUCCGCUGUAGGGGCCCUCAUGAGAUCGCCGCGCCACAGACGCUCCAUACCCCAAAAGGGGACAGUAUGCAUUAUAGUUUCAUUUAGAGCGGAGCAAUGCUGUUUUACAUCCAGUUAAACAAAAAUAGAUGCAGCUUUUUUAAAGUGUGUUGUACUGUCCUUCACCUAGUUUCGUUGGUGUGAAUCCCAACUUUGAAGCACACUCGUUUUGAUACUAACUAUUCACACACAGGCUUGUCAGAAUGUAGGCCUAUGUCUCUUUCCUGCAGUGGGAAAUCGUGACUUGUUUCAGUCAUCACUGCCGUAAAAGGGAACACAGAAAAGCCGGUGACCUUAAAGAAACACUUUAACACUCUCAUUUCUGCAUUGUAAAUCUACAAAUGAAACUCAACUCAAAACAGAAGAAAACCGCUGACUGGGCGUAUCCAAAAGACAACGAAUACGCACACUGUAGCCUCCUCUAAAGAUCACCAAUAACAUGAUAUUUGUGAUUUUAGUCCCGGCCUUGUUGUUACGAUGAGGUUGCCGGUUGUCCGUGCCCGCCAACAUCUUUAUGCCUGCCAUGUUUGUGAUGUGACAACUCAACAGAGGUUAAUUGAGGUUCAGGCGCAAAAGAAACAGUAACAGUUCUGCUUCAUUUCAGGACUUUUAUCUGGUGAUUUCUGCUGAAUAUCUUGAACGUUCAGUUCCUUCCCUUUUGAAAUGGAUUCAGCGCAGCAAUCAUUAUGCCUUCAUUAACACCCACACUGUGCGGUCAGACAGUAAAGCGAGCAUUAGGGAAAGUAGCACUUGUUCCUGCAGCUCUGCUGUGUUCACAGGCAAAGCUUGAUUGCAGACUCCGUCGCAGCCUCGUACUCGCUUCCUGUGUUAAUCCCCUUUUCUGUCGCAGAUCCUUCAUUUGAGGCGAUGGCGAUGGCAAGGGCGGGGGGGGGGGAAUUUCACUUCUGCUUGGCCUUACCCUAAACACCAUUCACCCAAGGCUUGUAUAAAGAGCCACCAUAUCCUGCUUAAACAAACAGCAUUGGGGACGUAGAAACAAAUGCUUUUGUUUUUGGGGUUAUAUUUAGUUCCUGCCCGCCUGCACCCAAACGCCGUCUCUCACGAGACGCGUUGGGCCACAGAGUUACAUUAUGGACGAUGUUGGCAACUGCAGAGGCACCUUUCCUCUG